rnacentral:rRNA from 1 species
CCUACGGGUGGCAGCAGUGAGGAAUAUUGGUCAAUGGGCGUAAGCCUGAACCAGCCAAGUCGCGUGAGGGAAGAAGGUUCUAUGGAUCGUAAACCUCUUUUAUAAGGGAAUAAAAUGCGGGACGUGUCCCGUUUUGUAUGUACCUUAUGAAUAAGGAUCGGCUAACUCCGUGCCAGCACCCGCGGUAAUACGGAGGAUGCGAGAGUUAUCCGGAUUUAUUGGGUUUAAAGGGUGCGUAGGCGGCGUUUUAAGUCAGCGGUGAAAGUCUGUGGCUCAACCAUAGAAUUGCCGUUGAAACUGGGAGGCUUGAGUAUGCUUGAGGCAGGCGGAAUGCGUGGUGUAGCGGUGAAAUGCGUAGAUAUCACGCAGAACUCCGAUUGCGAAGGCAGCUUGCCAAGGCAUGACUGACGCUGAGGCACGAAAGCGUGGGUAUCAAACAGGAUUAGAUACCCCUGUAGUC